rnacentral:rRNA from 1 species
CUACGGGAGGCAGCAGUGGGGAAUAUUGGGCAAUGGGCGCAAGCCUGACCCAGCAACGCCGCGUGAGGGAAGAAGGUUUUCGGAUUGUAAACCUCUGUCCCAUGGGAAGAAACAAAUGACGGUACCAUGGGAGGAAGCCCCGGCUAACUACGUGCCAGCAGCCGCGGUAAGACGUAGGGGGCAAGCGUUGUCCGGAAUUACUGGGCGUAAAGGGUGCGUAGGCGGCAAUACAAGUCUGAUGUGAAAUCCCCGUGCUUAACAUGGGGGUUGCAUUAGAAACUGUAUAGCUAGAGUGCAGGAGAGGUAAGUGGAAUUCCUAGUGUAGCGGUGACAUGCAUAGAUAUUAGGAGGAACACCAGUGGCGAAGGCGACUUACUGGACUGUAACUGACGCUGAUGCACGAAAGCGUGGGGAGCAAACAGGAUUAGAUACCCGCGUAGUC